GAUGAAGAACGCAGCGAAAUGCGAUAAGUAAUGUGAAUUGCAGAAUUCAGUGAAUCAUCGAAUCUUUGAACGCACCUUGCGCCCUUUGGCCAUUCCGAAGGGCAUGCCUGUUUGAGUAUCAUGAACACCUCAACUCUUUAUGGUUUUCCAUGAUGAGCUUGGACUUUGGGGGUUUUGCUGGCCUAUGGUCGGCUCCUCUAAAAUAAAUCAGCUUACCAGUGUUUGGUGGGUAUCAUGGGUGUGAUAACUAUCUACGCUUGUGGUUUUCCACCAGGUAACCUUCGAACAGCGGAGGUUCACUGGAGCUCAUAGAUGUCUCUCCUCAGCGAGGACAGCCCUUUGAAUGUUUGAUCUCAAAUCAGGUAGGACUACCCGCUGAACUUAAGCAUAUCAAUAAGCGGAGGA
rnacentral:misc_RNA from 1 species